GCCCAGCUGGCUCAAUGGCAAGAGUCACAGACGACGGCCUGAGGUUCUCUCAGGCUGCGGGUUCAAAUCCCGCACUGGGCA